rnacentral:rRNA from 1 species
GAUGAACGCUGGCGGCGUGCCUAACACAUGCAAGUCGAGCGAUCUUCUUCGGAAGAGAGCGGCGGACGGGUGAGUAACGCGUGGGUAACCUGCCCUGUACACACGGAUAACAUACCGAAAGGUAUGCUAAUACGGGAUAAUAUGCUUUUAUCGCAUGGUAGAAGUAUCAAAGCUCCGGCGGUACAGGAUGGACCCGCGUCUGAUUAGCUAGUUGGUAAGGUAAUGGCUUACCAAGGCGACGAUCAGCAGCCGACCUGAGAGGGUGAUCGGCCACAUUGGAACUGAGACACGGUCCAAACUCCUACGGGAGGCAGCAGUGGGGAAUACUGCACAAUGGGCGAAAGCCUGAUGCAGCAACGCCGCGUGAGCGAUGAAGGCCUUCGGGUCGUAAAGCUCUGUCCUCAAGGAAGAUAAUGACGGUACUUGAGGAGGAAGCCCCGGCUAACUACGUGCCAGCCGCCGCAGUAA